rnacentral:rRNA from 1 species
UACGUAGGUGGCAAGCGUUGUCCGGAUUUACUGGGCGUAAAGAGCGCGCAGGCGGUCGUUCAAGUCGCGUGUGAAAGCCCCGGCUCAACUGGGGAGGGUCAUUCGAUACUGAUCGACUCGAAGGCAGGAGAGGAGUAGUGGAAUUCCCGGUGUAGUGGUGAAAUGCGUAGAUAUCGGGAGGAACACCAGUGGCGAAGGCGACUACCUGGCCUGUUCUUGACGCUGAGGCGCGAAAGCUAGGGUAGCAAACAGG